CGACCCAAGCCCAACCAGCACAUGUCUCCCUCCCCUGAUCCCCUCACUCUCUCCACUCCCAGACUCCCAGUCCACUCACGAUGCCAGAUCUCGGCGAGUCACCCACUCCACCCCCUCCACUCUCGCCUCCACAGCCGGCGACCUCGUCUCGCACCGCCGCCCCCUCUCAUCUCCUCCCCAGCUCCCCUCCACUCAUCUGACGGCGGCUAGAUGCGCACACAACCGGCGACCAACAUCACACAAAGGUCGCCACCGCCGGCGGUGGAAGGACAGUCUUCUCCCGCCGCUAGCCGCAGCCUCCGCCUCGCCCUGAUCCUCGGCCUCCUCGACCGCCGCUCGCUCUCCUCGGAAGCACCUCGCCGCCUCCCUGCCCAUGCCGUGUUCGCCGACUGCCCUGCUCGCGCCGACCUCGCCAAUCUCGCGGCCGCGCUUGGCAGUGCUCGACUUGUCCUCGCCGCCUCCAGCGGCGCCGGGUCCUUCCCGUGCCUCUACCGCCUCCUGGACAAGUCAUCCUCUCCCCAAAUCGACACCCGCCCCUUUGUCGAGCCUGCCGUGCCAGCGACAUGAGCAGGAUGGUGUACACCGGCUUCACAGACAUGUGGCCGUCGAGGCUUCGGAUGAGGUCGACGCGGAUGAGAACAGUUCAUAGAGCCGUACCAGGUCUAUACACAUUAGCAUCCGAACCAGAACAAUCAAGUUCAAAGCUCUCAUGGUUGACUGGAGAAAAUCAAAGGAGGUGUGAGUUCGGAAGUAAUACCUGGACUACCUAUGGGGAGUUCUAUGGUUGACGCAGAGGGGAUUGUUGCUUCAUGUAUAAUCAGGCCGCUCAAUGGUUGUGAGUCAGCUGCAAUGGCUUGCGAAAGGGAUUGUUCAAAUUGGUUCCGUAAAAUGGCAGCGGGUAGAGUUCUUGUCCUGCACAAAGGAAGGUUACUUUGGUAGAACGUCACAAAAAUUAUAGACGGGGUUAGGAUACCUCUCGAGAAGCAGUAUAUGCCUCGGUAGCACACAAGAACAGUGAGGACCAUGUACUAAUCGGACGAACAGUUGGGGCUAUGUCACACCACCAAUCGGACAGUUGUAUAGUUAACCCAGUCUCUUCCCGCAUUAGUUUAACCAGAAGUGAACUGUGUACAGGUUACUAAGCGUGGAGAACCUGUGUCAUAACAUGUCGCUAGCAGCCACGCCGGCACCGCACACCUGAUCUGACGGCAAACUUUGAAGAAACUGUUCAAAUACACAUGAUCCAAACGCAAACCUGGAAGCGUGGAGAAUCAGGCCUUGCCAGCCCCGCUCGGAAGAUAGGAUUUUGUUGUAUAUGGAAAGAGCAAAAAUAUUAGAUUAAACUGUUGUUUAUGGAAGCUUCUCGUGAUGGAAUUUUCCGAUAUGAUUCCAUAUGUUUUGAUUUGAUUGGUGUCGUAAAUUGAAGGAAAGGAUGGAAGGUUUGUUGUUUUA